GAGGGUAUAGCUCAGUGGCAGAGCAUUUGUUAAGCAUGCACAAGGUCCUGGGUUCAAGCCCCAGUACCUCCA
rnacentral:tRNA from 1 species